GGGCAAGACAAUAUGUCUCCUGCUUUCAUGGAAUAUAUGUUCUCCUUCCCAGUAUUGCAUCUUCCACAGCAUGUGGACAGGAAUCAGAUGGGCAUAGGGCAUCUGGUCCAUGAUCAUCCUUUGUUCGUGCUGAUCUCUGAUGAAAUAUCUGAAGAAGAAGGAGAACACCAUGUGAAGCUGGAGGCAGAGAUUGGAGUGACACGCCUACAAACUGAGGGGCACCAAAGACCACCAGCAACCACCAGAAGCUGGAAGAGGCAUGGCACAGAUGACCACAAGAGCCUCCAGAAGGAACCAACCAUGCUGACGCCUUGAUUUUGGACUUCCAGCCUCUCAAAUUGUGAGCAAAUAAAUUUUUGUUGUUUUAAGCUACCCAGUUGUGGUACACUGUUAUGGUAGCCUGAUAUAGUUUGGCUGUGUCCCCAUGCAAAUCUCAUCUUGAAUUGUAGCUCCCAUAAUUCCCACAUGUUAUGAGAGGGAUCCGGUGGGAGGUAAUUGAAGCAUGGAGAAAGGUCUUUCCCAUGCUGUUCUCAUGAUAGCGAACACAUCUCAUGAGAUCUGAUGGUUUUAUAAAUGGGAGUUUCCCUGUACAUGCUCCCUUUGCCUGCCACCAUGUGAGACGUGACUUUGUUCCUCCUUCACCUUCUGCCAUGAUUGUGAGCCCUCCUCAGC
rnacentral:lncRNA from 1 species